rnacentral:tRNA from 2 species
GGAGAGUUGGCCGAGUGGUUUAAGGCGCUCGCCUGGAAAGCGUGUAUACUCCAAAAGGGUAUCAAGGGUUCGAAUCCCUUACUCUCCG